UAACUGCUGAGGUGAUUAAGGAAUUAUUGAUGAUUUAUACCAGGACAGGAGAAGAUGUGAAGAAUCCUAGCAAGGCAUAUCAUUACUUCCAACCAAUUUUUAAGGUUUCACACUUUUCCUGGGGCCUCUGGGCUCCUGUCCAGGCUGAGAUACUUCACAAUUGACUUUCAUUUUCUGAGGACUGACAGGCCAUCAGAAUGGAACUUUUCUCUGCUGACCACUGCUGGCGUGAGCCCAGGACCACUCUUUCCUCUGGAAACAGGGUGGAGAGGCAGGAAGACCAUCACCUCCUCUGCAUGACCAUGUGGCUGGGACACGGACACAAAGCCAGGCCACUCCUUCUGUAGCAUUUACUGCCCGUGAGAUGUGGGAUGUUCAGCUCUGAGCUUUUCUCACUCUUAGCGUGACAAGUCUCACAGCAAUGUGUGGCACUGGAUCAUGAACAGGCAGCCUAGGAAACAUUUAGAGCAGGUCAUUCUGGAAAUGCUUGAACCACGGAUGAUUGAGAAAGAAAAGUCAACACUUGCUACAGUGCAGAGAGCAUGGAACUUAAAGAGUUACACAUAUGAAAAAAUCCAAAUGAGUCAACAAAUACUGUGAGAGCGCCAAAAAAUAGUUUAGCUGAACAUGUGGGCUUCUUGUUU
rnacentral:lncRNA from 1 species